rnacentral:lncRNA from 1 species
UUGACUGCAGGGGAAGCUGCUAAUGCUCCAGGUACUGUUUCGGGUAGUAUUUAUUUGGGUGAGCGUGACUUGUAUGUGUUAUUUGAUACUGGGGCAACCCACUCGAUAGUCUCACAACUAAUUGCCCGACAUCUUAAAAUUUCGCCUUCUCUAUUGGAUCAAGCUUUAGUCAUUUCUACACCAAUGGGAAAUUCUUCGGUUAUUACUCACAUCUAUAAAGAUUGCCCGCUUGUGAUCGGAAAUGUUAUUCGUAUAGCGAAUCUUUAUCCCAUGCAAAUGGGAGAUUUUGAUGUCAUACUAGGCAUGGAUUGGUUAUCCACGCAUCGCGCUACCAUCGAUUGUCACUCCAAACGAGUCAUUUUUGGUGAUAUUCUGAAUCCUGAAUGUAUUUAUCAAGGAUCUCAACCUCGAAAAUCCAUUAAAAUCAUCUCUGCUCUUAAAGCUCAAAAACUUAUAUCCCAUGGAU